CUGAUUCGCUGCAAGGCUGUCAUUUUGCACAUUUCAGUCUGCACUAGAAAAAUCUAAAGAACAAAAGCAAAGCCUUGGUUUUGUUGGAAGAAAUUACUGCAUAAGUUCAACAAGGAGCCAUAGUCCUGCUUACAACACAGAAAUCUAGCGCUGCCCGUGAUGCUCUGACAGUGGAUAUGAGAGUGGGAAUCACUGGAGCUGAAGUGUUCAAUGAGCCUAAGAAGAGACUAAUAUAAUUUGAAGUUCACAAAGACAGCCAUCAACAAACCAGCAGAAUUAUAGAUGAAGAACUGUUCUGUGUGGGACUGUCAUUUGUUCCAGACUCCUGCCUGCGGUGGUGAUGACACACAGGUGAUAGCUCUCUUCUGCCUUCCCUUGAGCCAAGCGAAACAUCUUCCCUCUCUACGCAGGAUGAGGAUGAAAACCUGCUGGAGUCACAGUGAAUUUGGAUGGGGAAAUUUGGAGGAAAGAGGUUGGAGAGGAAAGCCCAUGUGUAAGCAAUAG
rnacentral:lncRNA from 1 species